GAGUUAAAUGGUCCUGCUGGAGUAUAUUUGUUUUGCUAUUAUUCGGUAUCCCAUUUCUUUCAGAUUCUGGUAGGCACCAUAAGGACUGCAGACUAUCAGGAAUAGAAAGGACCUUGGAAACCAGAGGCCAUCCCAAAACAUCAACAAAAGAAAAGGCUGGAAUCAAAGGAGGGAAAGGCACAGUGUCCACCUGGAGGAUCUCCAACCUGAGCAGAUGCCAGUUGACAUGGGAACUCUGAAGAGAGCAAUUUAAGGAUUUUCACAUUUGCUCGCAGUGGGAUAAUAGGCUAAGUUAUGCCCUCUAUGCUA
rnacentral:lncRNA from 1 species